GGCCUAACAGCUAGCCCCACUAAAAAUACAACAAAUAAUUAUUAAUAACCCCAAAUUUACUAAAAACACACAAACAAACCAUUUUUUACCCAAGUAUCGGCGAGAGAAAGGGACCAACAGCGCUAUAGAAACAGUACCGCAAGGGAAAGCUGAAAGAGAAGUGAAAUAAAUAAUAAAGCCACACAAAGCAGAGAUUCCCCCUCGUACCUUUUGCAUCAUGAAUCAGCCAGUAAACCCUAGCAAAGAGCCCUUUAGUUAGAAACCCCGAAACCGAGUGAGCUACUCCAAGACAGCCUAUUAAUAGGGCCAACCCGUCUCUGUGGCAAAAGAGUGGGAAGAGCUUUGAGUAGAGGUGACAGACCUACCGAACCCGGUUAUAGCUGGUUGCCUGCGAAAUGAAUAGAAGUUCAGCCCCACCCCUACUUUAACCGACCAAGCAUCGCCUGAAUUGCUUACUAAGAUAGCCGUGGGAGUUAAUCAAAAGGGGUACAGCCCUUUUGAUAAAGAAUACAACCUUAAGCACAGGGUAAAGAUUAUA
rnacentral:rRNA from 1 species